rnacentral:rRNA from 1 species
GAUGAACGCUGACAGAAUGCUUAACACAUGCAAGUCUUUGGCGAAUCUGUGCUUGCACAGCUUAGCCAAGGCGGACGGGUGAGUAACGUGUAAAGAACUUGCCCUGCAGACAGGGAUAACAGACGGAAACGACUGAUAACACCUGAUACAAUCACCGGCGCGCAUGUGCCUGGCAAUGAAAAGAGAUGCUGCAGGAGAGCUUUGCGUCCGAUUAGCUUGUUGGUGAGGUGACGGCUCACCAAGGCGCUGAGGGGUAGCCGGCCUGAGAGGGUGAACGGCCACGCCGGAAAGGGGACACGGGCCAGACGGGGACGGGAGGCAGCAGUUGGGACCAUUGGGGGAUGGGCGGAAGCAUGAUGGGGCAAUGGCGCGUGCGUGAAGAAGGCCUUCGUGUGGUAAAGAACAGUUUUUGGGGAAGAAAAAGUGCUUUCGAAAGGAAGGAAGUAAUGACGGUACCCAACGAAAAAGCACCGGCUAAAUUCGUG